AGGUCAUCUUUGUGGCCACUUUCGAUGUCUCCUCUGAGGCCGACCUGGGAGACAGGCUGCAGAUCACAGCAAACGCCAGCAGUGACAAUGGUGGCCUGAUCACCGAGAGCAUAACUCAACAGGAGAAGCUGCUGGUCAAGUACGGCAUCUUGAUCAUCCUCACCAGCCUGAAGGAGUCGACCAAGUACGUCAGCUUCUCCGCCAAGGAGGCAGGGACAAGCGUGCCCGUGACACAUGCGUACAAGGUGAGGCCGGCACCUCAGAGUGUGAGGGGGGAGACGGGGCAAGAGGGAGGGAGUGGAACUGCCUGAGUUAGACUUAGUGGGUUAGAGUAUGGAGGGGUGGAGACGGGGAGGGAGCCAGGACUCCUGGGUUCUAUCCCCAGCUCUGGCAGGGGAGUGGGGUC